GACGAACGCUGGCGGCGUGCCUAAUACAUGCAAGUUGAGCGCUGAAGGUUGGUACUUGUACCAACUGGAUGAGCAGCGAACGGGUGAGUAACGCGUGGGGAAUCUGCCUUUGAGCGGGGGACAACAUUUGGAAACGAAUGCUAAUACCGCAUAAAAACUUUAAACACAAGUUUUAAGUUUGAAAGAUGCAAUUGCAUCACUCAAAGAUGAUCCCGCGUUGUAUUAGCUAGUUGGUGAGGUAAAGGCUCACCAAGGCGAUGAUACAUAGCCGACCUGAGAGGGUGAUCGGCCACAUUGGGACUGGGACACGGCCCAAACUCCUACGGGGGGCAGCAGUAGGGAAUCUUCGGCAAUGGACGAAAGUCUGACCGAGCAACGCCGCGUGAGUGGAGAAGGUUUUCGGAUCGUAAAACUCUGUUGGUAGGGAAGAACGUUGGUGAGAGUGGAAAGCUCAUCAAGUGACGGUAACUACCCAGAAAGGGACGGCUAACUACGUG
rnacentral:rRNA from 1 species